UCCCUCUAAGGGUGGCACUUGGAGAGUUUGCAGUACUCUACCAGUCUCAUCUGCGGGAGGGAGAGUCAAGCAGAGGCAUACCCAUUCCAUUCCUAGCUUGGGCAGUGGCUAGCGAGCGGAGGGCAAUCUGCUACAAGU